rnacentral:rRNA from 1 species
AGAGUUUAAUCAUGGCUCAGGACGAACGCUGGCGGCGUGCUUAACACAUGCAAGUCGAGCGGAAAGGCCCUUCGGGGUACUCGAGCGGCGAACGGGUGAGUAACACGUGAGCAACCUGCCCUUGGCUCUGGGAUAGCCUCCGGAAACGGGGAUUAAUACCGGACAUGACCUGCCUCUGCAUGGGGGUGGGUGGAAAGUUU